GAAAUGCGAUAAGUAAUGUGAAUUGCAGAAUUCAGUGAAUCAUCGAAUCUUUGAACGCACCUUGCGCUCCUUGGUAUUCCUUGGAGCAUGCCUGUUUGAGUAUCAUGAAAUCUUCAAAGUAAAUCUUUUGUUAACUCAAUUGGUUUCUACUUUGGUAUUGGAGGUCUUUGCAGCUUCACACCUGCUCCUCUUUGUUCAUUAGCUGGAUCUCAGUGUUAUGCUUGGUUCCACUCGGCGUGAUAAGUUAUCUAUCGCUGAGGACACUGUAAAAGGUGGCCAAGGUAAAUGCAGGUGAACCGCUUCUAAUAGUCCAUUGACUUGGACAAUACUUUUAUGAUCUGAUCUCGAAUCAGGUAGGACUACCCGCUGAACUUAAGC
rnacentral:misc_RNA from 1 species